CUAUUCAACUGUUACUGUGGCAAGAAGCCAUGCUAGUCCAUGGUGCAUAGGGAAGACAGUCACAUUAGAAUUGCCCUCAUGGACACCAGCCUCAGAUAGCUUAUCUUCAGUGGCCUGUGUCAUCAUCCACAGCCGAGCCAACAAGAAAAAAGGAGCCAUGCCACUUGUUUUAAGCCAGUAUAGAGAACAGUCACCUAAUGGGCGGCAGUCACACCGCAGGAAUGCGGCCAUUUUCUUCAUGUCAGGAAAAAGUCAAGACCCCAAAGCAUUGGAGAACACAUGAUCAGAGUAGACAUAGAAGCUGAUGUUAUAAAGUCACCAAAUCUUCUGAGGCGCAGAAACUUGGUUGUAGAGUCUUCUGAGAUCUGGAAACUUUACUUGACCCAGGCAAGUUUUUA